AUCUGGUUCCCAGCAGGGCACAGAGCUAAUGCAGCUGAAAAAGCAUACAGCUGUGACUCCAGGCAUCUUGUGAAUGACCAGGCCUGGCUUGGGCUUCCUGCCUAAGUUCAAAGCAUGGGUUUUCAUCUGGGAGUCAGGUUGCGGUAGGAGGUGGGAGGAAAUAAGUGAAUGGCUCGGAGUAUCUUUUCAAACCACGCAUUCCUCAGGCCCUACUCUGGAUCUAUUGAAUCAGAAUUUCUGGUACUGGGAUUGAGAAUGAGUGUGGGAGUCCAGUGUGUCUUUUGAAUUAGGAGGUAAUUGGAGAAUCGGGGAGUUUUAGGGAAGAGGUAAGGAAUGUUUGCUUGUGAGACUAAGGAGUGGAUAGAGAGGUACAGACCAGAGCUAUAGAGACUGAGGGUCAAGAGGAGGUGAGAGGGAGAAAGGCAGGAGCAAGGUGGAUUAAAGGGAACCAGAGGAGACACCCUCCAUUCCCUGGAAGAAAAAAGGCAUGAAAAGAUAUGGAUGUAAAUGAGCCUGAAACUGGAGGGAGUGCAGACAGCCUGAGGUCGGGACUGAGGAUUGCCAUUUUCUCUCUGGAGUGGACUGUAAGGCAUGGUUGGCUGCAGAGAGAGGAGAGGGAGGUUCCGAGAGGCAAAGUAAUUUCUUGGAGCUUCUACAAGGGCCACAUUCCAAUUGGCUUGAAGAGGAACAUGCACGUUGAAAGGCAACACUGAGAGCGUUGAGGUCAGGUCAACAGGGGAAGAAAGAUUUCACCAUCAUGGUAAUAUCAAAAGAGUGCCUUAAAAUGAAAAAAUGAUCCUUGUUUACUUUUCUGGAAAGAAAGCUGUUGGAUACUAUUGACAAGGAGUGUUAUGCCCGUGACUACAUGAUGUGCCAUUCUUGUCAAGCCAUGAGAAGUGUCCAAAAAAGAGAAAAAGAAACUCUUAAUCAUUUGGAUCUAUCCUAAAACCUCCAAAUGUAACCUAGGAGAUGCAGUUAUUUUGUUUUUUGUUUCUUCAUGUAAUGCCAUUUUGGUAUCCAUCCUC
rnacentral:lncRNA from 1 species